GAGGGUCUAGCAUAAAUAAUGCACUUUGCUUACACCAAAAUGAUAAAAUUAAUUUUUUGACCCUUA
rnacentral:tRNA from 1 species